rfam:Myotis lucifugus cont2.55992, whole genome shotgun sequence.
GGCGGUUCUUGGGUGAUGCACCCUGGAAUCGGGCUCCUUCCUCUCUGGCUCCAGGUGCAACACCUGAGAACCGCA